UACGGAGGGGACUAGCGUUGCUCGGAAUUACUGGGCGUAAAGCGCACGUAGGCGGCUUCUUAAGUCAGGGGUGAAAUCCUGGAGCUCAACUCCAGAACUGCCUUUGAUACUGAGGAGCUCGAGUCCGGGAGAGGUGAGUGGAACUCCGAGUGUAGAGGUGAAAUUCGUAGAUAUUCGGAAGAACACCAGUGGCGAAGGCGGCUCACUGGCCCGGUACUGACGCUGAGGUGCGAAAGCGUGGGGAGCAAACAGG
rnacentral:rRNA from 1 species